UGUAAAAAAUGCAACUACAUUUUGUUCACCUGACCUGGUAAUUUGAGUUACUGAAACAAGGAAAUCUAAGUUACUAGGCAUUUACAAACAAAACCAUGUCAGACCAACACAUUCCAGCUUGGUAUUGUGCAAAAUGGGUUAUUUACAUUGCCUGAACAGGCAAUUUUAUGUUACAUGAUGCUGCUUAGUUAAUUGAGAGUUUGCACAUGCGCACUAAGGCACAAGAAAGAACGCGGGGUUUUCAAGUGCGGCACUGCAGGGGCUCUCAAGCGCAGCACAUCAGGGGCUGUGAACACUCCUCUCUCAGGCAGCUGCUUCAAGUACCAGUCAUUGGGGAAAGAAGUUAGGUUCCAAUUAAGCACUAAUUUGGCCAGUUUAACGGGGUUAGGAAGAUUUUAGUGAAUAUGCACGCUGCCUGAAAAAGACUCAAUGGAGUAGAUCUGUGAGGAGUUUUUUUGAGUUACCAACAAAGACCUGCUAGAAACUUUCAGAGCUGCCAUGGAAAAGAACACCACCAAACUACUGAGACUCUACCGUGCCCGGAAGGGAGCUUUUGGGCAUGAUAUGGAAGACCUAUUGAAAAACUUGAUGAAAAGACAUCUGAUAUUGUCGCCUAUCGAAAGAGUGCUGUGCUGGAAGGAUUGCCUUCGUUUUUGAGAGAAGAUCCUGUAAAGUUGUUUUAGAAAUGUUUGGAUACAGAUCCAGAAGAUGAACAGACCAAAGGGGUAUCUGUUGGAGUACUUGUGGUUUUAGAGGACAAUGUCUCUGCUGCAGGCUCAUCAGCAAAUGAACAUUGCCAUUGUGCUGGAGGAGACCAUAGUUCUGGAUGGACUCUGCGACACCCCUACAGGCUUGGCAUACCUCUUUGGCCUUUUCUGUGCUCUAAACCUUUCUUAUCCAAAAUUCUGAACUCCAAAUUCAGAUCCACUUUAAUGUAUAAAUGCAGUGCUUGACAUGUUGGUAUACUGUGUGAUUUGUUGUGUUUAAAUACAUGCAGGUGUUGUUGCUAGUGUUGCAGGGUUCCGAUUGGAAGCAUUUUAUCAAACGUGGCAUCAGAGGUGACUUGUGUUGGAUUUGAUCCUUGUUAAAAUGAAACUCUGACAUAUCUACAUUAUUGGCAAAAUAGCUUUUUAUGUUGCCCUACAUUUUGUCCUGAAUCUCUUAAGUACAUUUUGAAUGCCAUUCUCGAGAUGUUUUUGGACCUUGGCUCAAGAUACAAAUGACAUGUACUUUUUUUUUUCCCAAAAUAAAUUUUAUCUGCAAGCCAGUGAACAUGGUCACAGUAGUGAACUCCAGGAUUUUUAGGUUUGAAUUCCAAGAUGUCUUUUUUUAGGAAAAAAGAAAUUGAGGUUUGAUGUGCAGUGUUCAAGGUAUUGUGCAAUGCCUGUUUGCAAAGAUGCUCCUCUAAAUACACAUUAUUUUUGGUGAAAAAUAUUUUAGAAUUUUAAUAAGUGUAUUUUGUUUGACAAAAAUAUGACUAUGUAGAGGCAGUUUUAUCUUUCCAGCACUCAUUGACCCAAGUAAAAAAUGAAUAUCCUUUUUAUUCAGUGGUUUGUAAACCUUUAUAAAGAACUUUCUAAACAGUUUUAAGCCUUCUAUAUGUUUUUUUUUUUUUUUUUUGAUAAUUACAGGACUCCUAUUUUUUCACUGUAGCAUUAUGCAGAGGAAUGUGACUAGGUAAACAAAUACAGCAUACAAGGUUUUUACCCCUACUUCUUUAAAUUGCUUUUUUUUUUCUUCAUGGUUAAAUGAGGUUAGAUGACACUCUCAACCAACAUUUUUAAGUGAUAGUCUUCUUAAUACAGUUCUAAAUUUUGAAUGCUGAGGGAUUCCAAUUCUUUGCAUCUCUGUUAUGCUAUUUGCAAGUAACUGGUUGGAAUAAAGUAAUAUUAAUUAA